UGCACGGUGGUGCAGUUGGUAGCACUGUUGCCUUGCAGCUGCCUUGUGUCCUGGGUUCGAUUCCCGGCCGGGGGUCUUUUCUGCAU